rnacentral:lncRNA from 1 species
AGCUUCUCUAUGGCUGGACCUUGGUCAUCUGUGUAUCUCAGGAACUCUGCACAUGCUGGCCCUACUGUUCAUUCAGUGACUGUAUCCCUGCUUCCCAGCCCUGGAGGCCCCACCGAGAACCAAGGUACAUAAGCUGGCUUAUGCCUCUUUGCAUAAGGGAUGCAGGAAGAGCUGAACAGUUGUGUUCAGCUUUGGUGGCUGGAUGUGCUCAUUCUGAGUGCCCCAUCAGAGUCAGCCUCAGCUGCAGGUGACAUUUGACUCUUGGUCUUUGGGCCAAAGGACUUCUCUGCCAGACAGGAUGAUGACUGUCUCUUGGACAGGAUGGGAAUGGAGCCUGAACUACUAACUGCGGGAUGAACCUGGACACCACAGAGUGUUCCUGCCUCCUUCAAAUCCACCUGUCAGCUUCUGGUCAGAGACCACCUCCAUCUAAAUUCAGAGGUCUGGUCAGGGACAGCUGAAAGCUGCAGACAGUCAAGCUCUACAAGGCACCUGGGAUGGAGCCUCCUUCUUGGGCAGCAUCUUCACUGUUUCCUGGAGGCUGUGUGCAAAGCACAUUGUUUGGAGGGUAUCUUGCCGCCUUUUGAGGUAAGAUUGGCAAAGGGAUUGUUAUUGUGAACUGUGGUGGGGAAAUGCUAAACAGUGGGGGAUCUGAUUUUCUAAGACCAUUUAUAACUCUGACCAAGCAUAUAACUCUGACUUUGCAACCUGACUUCCUCGGCUUCUUGCAAUCACCUUUACAUGCCUGACCCUGGUCUCACUGUCUGCCGCCUCUUGUGAAUGCAAUCAAGGAAACUGUGACCCUUCCAAUCCACAGAUAGGAGAUAUGGAAGUGAACAGAGCCUGUCUCCAUUCCUUGUUGUGCACACCACUGUUCUCUGUCCCAUCUCAUUUCACACUGGACUUCUCCAGCCUGAGGAGCCC